GCGCUUGCUGCGCAGCAUGUAUACUAAAGUAAGAGCGAUAAGCGAAGAUUAGCAUGGCCCCUGUGCAAGGAUCACAGGCAAAUUCAUGAAGCCUUCCAUAUUUUU
ensembl:snRNA U6 U6 spliceosomal RNA